UACUAUUAUUUACAAUGAACCCUUUAUUUUUACUGAAUAUUUCUAUAAAGUUAUAGAACCUUUUAUGUUGAAACUAGUAACAAGAAGUUAAACUUCUCCUCAAUAUAAGUAUAAGUCGACUAGGAUAAACCAUCGACAAUUAACGCUUAAAUUAAAUGUAUUAACUCCACAAGAAAAACUUACAUUACCCCACGUUAAUCUUACACCAGAACAUUUAAGGAAAGAUUUAAAAAAAAGGAAGGAACUCGGCAAACAUUAACCCCGCCUGUUUACCAAAAACAUCGCCUUCUGAUAUAUUAUAGAAGGUCCAGCCUGCCCAGUGAAUUAAUUUAACGGCCGCGGUAUCCUAACCGUGCGAAGGUAGCGUAAUCACUUGUUCUUUAAAUGAGGACUAGUAUGAAUGGCACCACGAAGGUUAUACUGUCUCCCUUUUUUGAUCAGUUAAACUAAUCUUCACGUGAAGAAGCGUGAAUAAACAUAUAAGACGAGAAGACCCUAUGGAGCUUAAAAUUACACAACAAUUGUUAAAAAAAUCCUAAAUUUUAUAAAUAAUUUUUUACUAAACACCAUGAUUGCUAAUUUUUGGUUGGGGUGACCGCGGAGUAAAAAUUAACCUCCACAAUGAAAGAAAUCAAUAUUCUAAACUAAGAGCUACAACUCAAAGUAUUAAUAUUUUAACAUUCUUUGAUCCAAUAUUUGAUCAACGAACAAAGUUACCCUAGGGAUAACAGCGCAAUCUACUUUGAGAGCUCCUAUCGACAAGUAGGUUUACGACCUCGAUGUUGGAUCAGGGUAUCCUAGUGGUGCAGCCGCUACUAAUG
rnacentral:rRNA from 1 species